GACAGAGGCCCCAAGCGUUGGGCGGAAUCACUGGGCUUAAAGCGCGUGUAGGCGGCUCGUUAAGUGUCUUGUGAAAUCCCACGGCUCACCCGUGGAACUGCUGGGCAUACUGGCGAUCUUGGGCCAACUAGGGGCAGCCGGAACAAGCGGUGGAGCGGUGGAAUGCGUAGAUAUCGCGUGGAACGCCGAAGGUGAAAACAGGCUGCUGGGGUUGCGCCGACGCUGAGACACGAAAGCCAGGGGAGCAAACGGG
rnacentral:rRNA from 1 species